rnacentral:rRNA from 1 species
UUUUUUUGUGGAGAGUUUGAUCCUGGCUCAGGACGAACGCUGGCGGCGUGCUUAACACAUGCAAGUCGAACGGAAAGGCCUGCAGCUUGCUGCGGGUAC